AAAAGAAAAGAAAAGAAAACAAAGGCCUGCUCCUGAGGGACUAUUGCUCAUUUCAAUAGAGAAUUUGACAAGCUAUGUAUAACUGGAAAGAGGAGACUUGCUUUACUUUAAUAAGAGGCGUACUAUUACAUACAAGAACCAUAAACUACCAAGGUUAUUAGGGGAAAAUGAAAAGAUUAAGGAGCAAAAAGAAAGAGGGAUGUUCUGACUAAUAAGAGAGUUUCUGUACAUUCGGCUUCAUCAAUGCCUAGACUGCAUAUGUUUCUCUUUAAUUCCCAACUUCAUUCCUUAAUUCUGUGGUUCACUAUCACCUACAUGUCUUGCUUAGGCUUUCGGCUCAAUUCCGAGUAAUGACCACCCAUUAGCUGUAAAAUCUCCUCCCACAAAUUUUCUGAUGAUGAAUCUGAUGAAGUCCCACAUAUCAAAUUCGAGCUACACGAGGCCACAUACCAAUAAUCUGAUUCAAUCUCCUCCCUCAACUGAUCCAGCUGCCACCCAGCAUAGCCAACAAAGAAUCUGAAAUCCUGAGGUUUCAGCACUCCUUUCUUCACAAGGGCUGCGGCUUCAUCCAAACUGUUUCUUGCACCGAAGCACAAGCCAGGGAUCACCUCUUCGAAGGUAGGAAGCUUUGCCUUCUCUCCUGUUUUUAACAAAAACAUGCUCGCCUCGAGAGGCCCACCAAAAUGCAAAGAGCAGUCAGCAAAAGUGGUUGCUAGUUCAUUAUUAGCGGGCUUCAUGUGUUUGAUCUUUUUGUUAAGUGGCCGAUUAAUAAUAACUCCGAAGGGCCCCUCCUGUGGAUGUCUA
rnacentral:misc_RNA from 1 species